CGUAGGUGGCAAGCGUUGUCCGGAUUUAUUGGGUUUAAAGGGUGCGUAGGCGGUCCUAUAAGUCAGUUGUGAAAUACGGCAGCUUAACUGUCGAGGUGCAAUUGAUACUGCAGGACUUGAGUACAGACGAGGUAGGCGGAAUUGACGGUGUAGCGGUGAAAUGCUUAGAUAUCGUCAAGAACACCGAUAGCGAAGGCAGCUUACUAGACUGUAACUGACGCUGAUGCACGAAAGCGUGGGGAUCAAACAGGAUUAGAUACCCUGGUAGUCCACACUGUAAACGAUGAUUACUCGAUGUUGGCGAUACACAGCCAGCGUCUUAGCAAAAGCGAUAAGUAAUCCACCUGGGGAGUACGCCGGCAACGGUG
rnacentral:rRNA from 1 species